rnacentral:rRNA from 1 species
UACGAAGGGGGCUAGCGUUGCUCGGAUUGACUGGGCGUAAAGCGCGCGCAGGCGGUCCUUUAAGUCUGAUGUGAAAGCCCACGGCUCAACCGUGGAGGGUCAUUGGAAACUGGGGGACUUGAGUGCAGGAGAGAAGAGUGGAAUUCCACGUGUAGCGGUGAAAUGCGUAGAGAUGUGGAGGAACACCAGUGGCGAAGGCGGGUCUCUGGGCCGAUACUGACGCUGAGGAGCGAAAGCGUGGGGAGCGAACAGG